rnacentral:rRNA from 1 species
AACGAACGUUAGCGGCGCGCCUAACACAUGCAAGUCGCACGAGAAAGGGCUUCGGCCCCGGUAAAGUGGCGCACGGGUGAGUAACACGUGGGUAAUCUGCCCUCGAGCUGGGGAUAACGGUCCGAAAGGACCGCUAAUACCGAAUAAGACCACGACCUCGAAAGAGGAUGCGGUCAAAGCUGGCCUCUAUUCAUAAGCUAGCACUUGAGGAUGAGCCCGCGGCGCAUCAGCUAGUUGGUGAGGUAAUGGCUCACCAAGGCUAAGACGCGUAGCUGGUCUGAGAGGAUGAUCAGCCACACUGGAACUGAGACACGGUCCAGACUCCUACGGGAGGCAGCAGUGGGGAAUCUUGCGCAAUGGGCGAAGCCUGACGCAGCGACGCCGCGUGAGUGAUGAAGGCCUCGGUCGUAAGACC